rnacentral:rRNA from 1 species
GAUGAACGCUGGCGGCGUGCCUAAUACAUGCAAGUCGAGCGAACAGACGAGGAGCUUGCUCCUCUGACGUUAGCGGCGGACGGGUGAGUAACACGUGGAUAACCUACCUAUAAGACUGGGAUAACUUCGGGAAACCGGAGCUAAUACCGGAUAAUAUGUUGAACCGCAUGGUUCAAUAGUGAAAGACGGUUUUGCUGUCACUUAUAGCUGGAUCCGCGCCGCAUUAGCUAGUUGGUAAGGUAACGGCUUACCAAGGCAACGAUGCGUAGCCGACCUGAGAGGGUGAUCGGCCACACUGGAACUGAGACACGGUCCAGACUCCUACGGGAGGCAGCAGUAGGGAAUCUUCCGCAAUGGGCGAAAGCCUGACGGAGCAACGCCGCGUGAGUGAUGAAGGUCUUCGGAUCGUAAAACUCUGUUAUUAGGGAAGAACAAAUGUGUAAGUAACUAUGCACGUCUUGACGGUACCUAAUCAGAAAGCCACGGCUAACUACGUG